AAGGCGUUAGUCUAAUUAAGACUUCUGAUUUCGGCUCAGAAAACUGUGGUUAAAGUCCAUAACCCCUUU
rnacentral:tRNA from 1 species